rnacentral:rRNA from 1 species
UACGAAGGGGGCUAGCGUUGCUCGGAAUUACUGGGCGUAAAGCGCACGUAGGCGGCUUCUUAAGUCGGUGGUGAAAUCCUGGAGCUCAACUCCAGAACUGCCUUCGAUACUGGGAGCUCGAGUCCGGGAGAGGUGAGUGGAACUGCGAGUGUAGAGGUGAAAUUCGUAGAUAUUCGCAAGAACACCAGUGGCGAAGGCGGCUCACUGGCCCGGUCUGACGCUGAGGUGCGAAAGCGUGGGGAGCAAACAGG